UACGAAGGGGGCUAGCGUUGCUCGGAUUCAUUGGGCGUAAAGGGUGCGUAGGCGGCGCGGUAAGUCGGGUGUGAAAUCUCGGAGCUUAACUCCGAAACUGCAUUCGAUACUGCCGUGCUUGAGGACUGGAGAGGAGACUGGAAUUUACGGUGUAGCGGUGAAAUGCGUAGAUAUCGUAAGGAAGGCCAGUGGCGAAGGCGGGUCUCUGGACAGUUCCUGACGCUGAGGCACGAAGGUCAGGGGAGCAAACGGG
rnacentral:rRNA from 1 species